CAGGUGCUGCAUGGCUGUCGUCAGCUCGUGUUGUGAAAUGUUGGGUUAAGUCCCGCAACGAGCGCAACCCUUAUCCUUUGUUGCCAGCGAUUAGGUCGGGAACUCAAAGGAGACUGCCAGUGAUAAACUGGAGGAAGGUGGGGAUGACGUCAAGUCAUCAUGGCCCUUACGACCAGGGCUACACACGUGCUACAAUGGCGCAUACAAAGAGAAGCGACCUCGCGAGAGCAAGCGGACCUCAUAAAGUGCGUCGUAGUCCGGAUUGGAGUCUGCAACUCGACUCCAUGAAGUCGGAAUCGCUAGUAAUCGUGGAUCAGAAUGCCACGGUGAAUACGUUCCCGGGCCUUGUACACACCGCCCGUCACACCAUGGGAGUGGGUUGCAAAAGAAGUAGGUAGCUUAACCUUCGGGAGGGCGCUUACCACUUUGUGAUUCAUGACUGGGGUGAAGUCGUAACAAGGUAACCGUAGGGGAACCUGCGGUUGGAUCACCUCCUUACCU
rnacentral:rRNA from 2 species